rnacentral:rRNA from 1 species
UACGAAGGGGGCGAGCGUUUGUUCGGAAUCACUGGGCGUAAAGGGCGCGUAGGCGGCCCUCUUAGUCGCGUGUGAAAACCCGCGGCUCAACUGUGGGCUUGCAGUCGAUACGGGCAGGCUGGAGUUCGGUAGGGGAGACGUGGAAUUCCUGGUGUAGCGGUGAAAUGCGCAGAUAUCAGGAGGAACACCGGUGGCGAAGGCGGGUCUCUGGGCCGAUACUGACGCUGAGGAGCGAAAGCGUGGGGAGCGAACAGG